UACGUAGGGGGCAAGCGUUGUCCGGAAUCAUUGGGCGUAAAGAGCGCGUAGGCGGUUCAGUAAGUCUGCUGUGAAAGUCCAAGGCUCAACCUUGGGAUGCCGGUGGAUACUGCUGAGCUAGAGUACGGAAGAGGCGAGUGGAAUUCCCGGUGUAGUGGUGAAAUGCGUAGAGAUCGGGAGGAACACCAGUGGCGAAGGCGGCCGGCUGGGGGUGACCUGACGCUGAGGCGCGAAAGCGUGGGGAGCGAACCGGG
rnacentral:rRNA from 1 species